GACGAACGCUGGCGGCGUGCUUAACACAUGCAAGUCGAACGGAAAGGCCCUUCGGGGUCCUCGAGUGGCGAACGGGUGAGUAACACGUGGGUGAUCUGCCCUGCACUUUGGGAUAAGCCUGGGAAACUGGGUCUAAUACCGAAUAGGACCACGCGCUUCAUGGUGUGUGGUGGAAAGCUUUUGCGGUGUGGGAUGGGCCCGCGGCCUAUCAGCUUGUUGGUGGGGUAAUGGCCUACCAAGGCGACGACGGGUAGCCGGCCUGGGAGGGUGACCGGCCACACUGGGACUGAGAUACGGCCCAGACUCCUACGGGAGGCAGCAGUGGGGAAUAUUGCACAAUGGGCGCAAGCCUGAUGCAGCGACGCCGCGUGAGGGAUGACGGCCUUCGGGUUGUAAACCUCUUUCAAUAGGGACGAAGCGCAAGUGACGGUACCUAUAGAAGAAGCACCGGCCAACUACGUG
rnacentral:rRNA from 1 species